AAGAGGAUCUAAAUGGUGAAAGCUCACCGGAGAUGAUGAUAAAAGUUUUUCUUAGGUGGUAUGAGUUUGGCCAGACACGUUGGACAUUUGAUUGAUUGAAUUUAAACUGGAUCCUGUGUUUGGCUUGCAGUGCAUUCCAUCGUGUACUCUAACAUAUGGAGUGUUGGAUCUGUCACGUCAAUAAUGAGGCGUGAUCCAGUGCUCUAUGUUUUUUCUGAUUUUAAUUCUUUUUCUUUUAUUAUUUUUAAUUGAUU
rnacentral:lncRNA from 1 species